rnacentral:rRNA from 1 species
CAAAUUCUGAUUUUAUAAUUAAACCCACCACUACUAUUAAGUAACUUUAUAUUAUUAUAAAAAAUAUUAUGUUAGAAUUAGUAAUAAGAAAUUGUAUUUCUCCAAAAUAUAAGUGUAAUGCAAUACUAACUAAAACUGCUAAUUACUGUAUACUAACCACUAGUAGUAACUCAACAAGAAAACCCUACUACAACAAACAUUAACCUAACACAAGAAUAUUGCUGGAAAGAUUAAAAAGAGAGGAAGGAACUCGGCAAAUACUAACCCCGCCUGUUUACCAAAAACAUCGCCUCUUGUUUAACUAUAAGAGGUCCUGCCUGCCCCGUGAUUUACUUUAACGGCCGCAGUAUAACCGCGCAAAGGUAGCAUAAUCAAUUGUCCCUUAAAUCGGGACUAGUAUGAACGGCACCACGAGGGUUUAACUGUCUCCCCCCCUUAAUCAAUGAAAUUUAUCUUCCCGUGAAAAAGCGGGGAUACUAAUAUAAGACGAGAAGACCCUAUGGAGCUUAAAACUUAUUACCAUAUAUUUUAUAAAACAACAAAUUAUCUAAUAUUACUGUUCUAUAAUAGUUUUCGGUUGGGGCAACCCUGGAGAAAAGUAAAUCCUCCAGAUUGAAAAAUAACCUUAUACAAGAAUUACAAUUCAAAUAAACAAAAAUUUGACAAUAUUGACCCAGAAUUAACUGAUCAAUGAACCAAGUUACCCUAGGGAUAACAGCGCUAUCCAUUUUAAGAGUCCAUAUCGACAAAUGGGUUUACGACCUCGAUGUUGGAUCAGGAUAUCCUAGCAGUGCAAAAGUCGCUAACG